CUCUUCGCCAGAGCUGAGUUGCGGCGGACUGGGCGCAACACAGCAGAGCCCGGCCCGCGAGCCCUCGCGUGCCCGGGUCCGUCGGGUGCCGCGGCGCCUCCCCCAGGGAGUCCCCGCGCUGCUGCACCCCGCGUUUCCCGCAGCGGCUGGGGGCUUCGGACGUGCGGGCCGAGAGCCCGAGGCAAGCGUCCCCAGAGACCACCGUGGGCUUCAUGGCUGGAGCGGAACCGGUGAGUUGAACCCGAGUCAGGCAGCUUAUUUAGGGCGCGAAGUUCCUAGUUAGUACAGCGGCACAGCCAUGAGUAACAGCAGCACCCUCAUGGACCUUUACGGGCACCUCCGUUCUCUCCUCCUGCCGGAGGGGGAAGGGGCGCCCGAGGCGAACCCCGAUGGUGAACCCGAUCCGGUUACGAGUACCUGGGCGCCGAGCCUGUCGGGCACCAUCUCUGAUGUGACCCCUACUCCAUCGCCCACUUGGAACACAACCCCGGAUCUUGCCCUGGGCUGCGGGGAACAGAUCAACUAUGGCAGAACUGAGAAAGUUGUGAUCGGUGCCAUCCUGGCACUCAUCACGCUUCUGACGAUCGCGGGCAACUGCCUGGUGGUAAUCUCCGUGUGCUUCGUCAAGAAGCUCCGCCAGCCCUCCAACUACCUGAUAGUGUCCCUUGCACUGGCCGACCUCUCGGUGGCCGUGGCGGUGAUGCCCUUUGUCAGUGUCACCGACCUCAUCGGGGGCAAGUGGAUAUUUGGCCACUUCUUUUGCAACGUCUUCAUUGCCAUGGACGUCAUGUGCUGCACGGCCUCAAUUAUGACUCUGUGCGUGAUCAGCAUCGACAGGUACCUUGGGAUCACCCGCCCUCUCACCUACCCUGUGAGGCAGAAUGGGAAAUGCAUGGCAAAGAUGAUUCUGUCUGUCUGGCUGCUGUCUGCCUCCAUCACUCUCCCCCCACUCUUCGGAUGGGCCCAGAACGUGAACGACAACAAGGUCUGCCUCAUCAGCCAGGAUUUCGGCUACACCAUCUACUCCACCGCCGUGGCCUUUUACAUCCCCAUGUCCGUCAUGCUGUUCAUGUACUACCAGAUCUACAAGGCUGCCAAGAAGAGCGCUGCCAAGCACCGCUUCCCUGGCUUCUCCCGCACCCAGCCCGAGAGCGUCAUCUCCCUGAAUGGCGUGGUGAAGGCCCAGAAGGAGGUGGAAGAGUGUGCAAAUCUGUCCAGACUGAUCAAGCAUGAGAGGAAGAACAUCUCCAUCUUCAAGAGAGAGCAGAAGGCAGCCACUACCCUGGGGAUCAUCGUCGGAGCCUUCACCGUGUGCUGGCUACCCUUUUUCGUGCUCUCAACGGCCAGGCCCUUCAUCUGUGGCACCUCCUGCAGCUGCAUCCCGCUGUGGGUGGAAAGGACCUGUCUGUGGCUGGGCUAUGCCAACUCCCUCAUCAACCCCUUCAUCUACGCCUUCUUCAACCGAGACCUGAGGACGACCUACCGCAGCCUGCUCCGCUGCCAGUACCGUAACAUCAACCGGAAGCUCUCGGCUGCUGGUAUGCACGAGGCCCUGAGGCUGGCAGAGAGACCUGAGAAGCCGGAAUUCAUCCUGUAAGGGCUCUGAAUGCUGCCACGACGGAUUCAAGUUUUUGUACAGCAUGCGCAUCAUGGUGGAGCAAGUCGGGCUGACCACCUGUGCAGCAUGGCAAAGCCAAGUUGAGCAGUCCUGCAAGCGCACCCUGGCAGUGCCAAGUUGGUCAGCCUGGUGCGUGCAUCCUGGCGGAGUGGGUCAGCCUGUGGAAUAAUAAAUGAACUAAAGCCUGCAGAAGUUAAAGGAACACGUUCAAGGUUGCACAGCUAAUAAUGGUAGGAUUUGAACCCAGGUUCAGGCAAGGGAGACAGUCUCAUCUACAAUCUAUUGGGAGUCGGAAGAUAUCAGGUUCCACUAAUGAUUUUCCAUCCCUCCAUAUGUCUUAUUGGGGAUACACACCUGGAUCUCUCUGUUGUCAUGCAACUACUGUGAUCAUGAAAAUAGCAACUCUAUUUUCCUUGAUAUGCUAUGAUGGAAGACAAGAGUCCAGCACCAGCCAAACCAGACCCAAGGAGGAAGCAGCCCGGUGCCAGCCAAGUAGACCGGAGGAGGAAUCACCCCGGCGCCAACCCAGACCGGAGGAGGAAGCCCGGCCCGCCCCAUGUGCUAGUCCAGAGGAAGUCCAUCAACCCUUAAAAUUCAUCAAAGGGGGUGUGGCUACCAGCAUGGUUCUAUGGCUGAUCCAGUAAAAUCUACAGGGAAAACCAAGAUAUAAUUGGAAGAUUGCAUAGCAUGAUGUGGUCAACUGAGUAAGUUCCAAACCUGUCCAUUUCCUCAUUCCUGAACCUGUGUUUCUUUAGUUGUUAAAAGAGAUUUUUCAGAUGUGAUUAAGAUCUUGAGAUUGGGAGAUUUCUACCUAAUUUAUUUAGGUGGGUUUUUUGUAAUCACAGGGGUUCUUGUAAGAGGGACAGGAGAUCAAAUUAGAAGAAGGCAAUGUAAAACAAAAGCAAAGAUUGGGGUGCAGUGACGACAACCCAAGAAAUGCUGGCAGCCAACAGAAUCCAGAAGAGGCAAAGAAGGGAUUUUCCCAUGAAACCACCAGGAAAAAAACCAAAAAACAUCCUGCUGCUGUUUCAAUUUUAUUCUGUUUUCCAGAACUGUAACAUAAUCUAUUUGUGUUAGAAACGUCUAAUUUAUGGAAAUUUAUACUAAUGGAAGACUAUACACUUGAGAUCAAUAAAAGAAAUAGAAAUGAAAUAGUUAAUGAAAUUGGCUCUUGAUAGUUUGAUUUAUUCACAUAAUAAUAGGGAUGUACAAUUAAAGUCUACUGGAUACAACCACAUAAAAUGUGAAUACACUAUUUUCACCUGACUUUUCGAAGUUCUUUUAAAUUCUACUUUGGCAGAUCUAUCCAUUCCUAAUUGUCAUGAUCUUGCCUUAAAUGUCCACUCUAUUCAUAUAGGUCUCAAGUAAGUUGUACUUUUAUGAUAACAGUUCUAUCUUUGUGGGUUUGAUUUUUCAUAAUUUAAUUUUGAUCGAUUUUAUUUUGAUUUAAAAUUUCACUCUCUGAGGUCAAACUAAUUUCCAUUCUUUCCAAGUGAUUUGGUAGGCCCUUAUUCUGGACUCCAAACACCCAGGCUACUUUACAAGCCAGAUGUUCAUAUUCAAACACAGAAAACAUUUACUGAACUGCAAAAUAUCUUAUUCAACAGGUAAAAUAGAAAGCUUGGACCCUAAUAGCUAUCUAGGUAAUAUUUAUGCAGAUAAGGCAGCAAUAAACAUUUAUUUAGUUAAAUAUGAAUAUCCCUUUUUUCUUAUUUUUACUGUUACAAUGUAAUAAAUUUUACAAUAAAGAUAAAACAAAAAUUUUCUAUUGCUCAUUAGUGUUGCCUUUGUAAUUGUGACAUCAUUCCUAUUUUUGUCAUAAUUUAAUUUUUUGACAUGUAAAAACUGCAUGUGUAUAUAUAUGUAAGGUUAAAAUUUGAGGUUUGGUUAUACAUUGUGAAAUGAUCACUGCAUUCCAGCUAAUUCACAUAUCUACAUAGUUAUCAUUUUCUCUACCUUAAAUGAGGAGAAUUUACAACAAAAAUUUGAAGCAUAUAAUGUUAUGUGUUCAAUCCCAUAACUUUCUGUUGUUGUACAAUGGAGUGUUAAAAAUGUUAUUAAACACAAACUCCUUAGAAAAUUUACAGAAAUGCCUGAUAAAAUAAUUAUACUGACAAUGCCAAAGCUCUGUAGUUUGUGUAUAUAUACUGUGUGUGUGUUCAUUAGUGUCCCAAAGUAGACUCAACUGCUUCCUUUAUUGCUAGAUUCUUAUAUUUCUUUGUAUAAUCUCUGAAUUUUAAUUGUGUUCUUUUCAAAAUGUAUUUGCAUUUUUAAACUUGUUUUGUUUUUCCAAAAGAGUAAAAUGAAAGAUCUUUUAAGCAGAGAGCUUCCAAUGUAGGUAAAACUGUGAGGAGGAGAAGCAUAAGAACUUUUGUAUAUGUUAAAGAUUAUUCAUGGAGAGGGAGGGGUCUUUUAGUAAUAACUUCUGAUUAUGAGGAGCAGUCUCAAAGUUGAGAGAUUAGCAAAGAGGACUUGAAAAACAGUCUGGACCUCAGAAGGAAAAAUUGCAAUUAGAGAGAGAGACUUUAUUUAUAUGUUUGUUCGUUUCUUAGAAGCAAGCCAAGGAGGAUGAGAAAUAGAGGCAGGCUGUGCAGCCUGAAGUCAGUCUAGUACCAUGGAGAGCACCUGGGAGAGGUUGGGAGAAACCUAAGCCAAAUGCUAUGGAUCAGUUUCAGGGAGUGGUGUUAGGGCUGGCUCAGAGGAGUCAAAACCAAUCUUUUCUAUCAUUGAAGUAAAUACUAUUUGUCAGGCUCAGUAACUAGACCAUGGAUUCUUAGAGGUUCAGAAACAGGCAUCUAUGGAUAAACUAGACAAUAUGCAAGUUCCUGAAACUGUUUACAAAACAUGUACAAGUGUGUUUGUAACAUUUUCUAGGAGUUGAUUUUCAAUAACUUAGAUAAAAAUUUUCUCAGUCGUCAAAAUCUCCAUACUAAGACUCCCAAUUCUAGGCUAAGAGGUAGCUUAUGUGCAUGAAGGCAGCAUUAGUCUGUUAAAAGGCAUGUGAUUAAGGUUGGGCUGGUGCUUGGUGGCAGUCCAAGAAGUUUAGUACCUUUUAAAAACUAAAUUCAAUUUCAGCAUUUAUGAAACCACAUGCCCACAGCAGGCAUUUAAAUUGUAACUGAAUUGUGCCAACUCAGUUCAUUGAAUUGGUAUAGAAAUACAUUGAAUUGUAUAGAAAUACAUCAGAAAAGCCUUAUUAAAAUUACAGAUCUGUGAGAAAGUCUGGGGUGGUUCUUUGGAAUCUAUAAUUUUACAAACUUUCUGUGAUGUACUACUCAAAGAGGAAAGAAUAGGGACAUUAACAUCAUUCAGGAACUUGUUAGAAAUACAAAAUCUGUGAAUCACCCCUAAACUCAGACCUACUGACUCAGAAUAUGCAUUUUGACAUGAUUACUAGGUGCUUUGUAUGUUCACCAAUGUUUCUGCAGAAGUUUCACUAAAGCUUGAGAAGUAAUUCAGUGAA